rfam:Galdieria sulphuraria unplaced genomic scaffold scaf_21, whole genome shotgun sequence.
GGAGCCGUAGCUCAGCGGUAGAGCGGACGACUGCAGAUCGUCAGGCCAGUGGUUCAAAUCCGCUCGGCUCCU